rnacentral:rRNA from 1 species
CAGAGCCCAACUUGAAAAUCUCCAGCCUCCGGCUGGCGAAUUGUAGUCUAGAGAAGUGCUCUCUGCCUCAGCCUGUUCCCAAGUCCCCUGGAAAGGGGCGUCAGAGAGGGUGAGAACCCCGUUGGGAUCGGAUCCUGAGGCUCCACGAGACGCUUUCGAAGAGUCGGGUUGUUUGGGAAUGCAGCCCAAAGCAGGUGGUAAAUCCCAUCUAAGGCUAAAUACAGACGGGAGACCGAUAGCGAACAAGUACCGCGAGGGAAAGAUGAAAAGAACUUUGAAAAGAGAGUUAAAAAGUACUUGAAAUUGUUGAGAGGGAAGCGAUUGGAUCCUACGGGUGCGCCCAGGCACACGCCUGCCUAACGGUUGGCUGAAUGCGCUGGGUGCUGGUCAGCAUGGGUUGACCGGGCGGGACAAACCCGGGGGUUGUUACCCCGGCUAUGUCGCCUGGUCGACUGAGGAAAGAAGGGCGCUCUCUGAGUCCUCCGGGAACUGCGUCCUCAAGAUGCUGGCGGAAAGGUUCCAAUCGGCCCGUCUUGAAACACGGACCAAGGAGUCUAACAUGCAUGCGAGCUGGUGGGUGGCAAACCCAUGAAGCGCAAGUAACCUGACUGGUGGGAUGGCCUGUGCCUGCACCAUCGACCGACCAUGAUCUUCUGUGAAAGGUUCGAGUACGAGCAUGCCUGUUGGGACCCGAAAGAUGGUGAACUAUGCCUGAGCAGGGCGAAGCCAGAGGAAACUCUGGUGGAGGCUCGUAGAUGUGCUGACGUGC